GGGGCCUAUGGGUUCUAUAGGGUUUGGAGGCGCUGCGGGUGCUAGGAAGGACGUAGGGGAGUGGGGGGCGUAGAAAGCAUGUAGGGAUUAUAGAUUCUAUAGGGGCACGGGGAGGGGGGCUUGGGGGCUAUAGGGAGCGUAGGGGGGGUAUAGAUUCCAUAGGGGAUUUGGGGGUUACAGAGGGGGUAAGGGAGUAUAGAUUCUAUAGGGCGCUUCGGGAGUAUAGGGAUAAUAGGGAAGUAUAGGUUCCAUAGGCAGUUUGGGGGCUGUCGGGAAUACAGGGGAGCACAAACUCUAUAGAAAGUGUAGAGCAUAUAGGUUCUAUACGGUUUCUAGCAAAUAUAGGAGGCAGAGAAGAAUAUAGGUUGUGUAGAGGACUUGGGGAGUAUAGAGAGAGGAAGAAGGUAUAGGUUCUAUACCAAGCAUAGGGAGCGUAGAGACGUAUAGGUUCUAUAAGAAGCAUAGGGAAACAUAGAUUCUAAAGGGAGUUUGGAGUUAUGAGGGGGCAUAGGGAGGUAUAGGUUCUAUAGGAGCUAUACCGACCAUAGGGGGUAUAGGUGCUAUCGAGAAUACAGGGUACUUAGAUUUUGCGGGCACUGUAAGACAUAAAGUUUCCAUAGGGGUCGUCGACUUCCGCCGCGGAGCCGACUUCCGCCCUGCGCCGCCAGUACUUCCGGCGUCCCCCCCCAAGAUGGCGGCGCGGCCCUCCCCAAGAUGGCGUUGCGGCUCCGCCUCUCCUUUCCCGUUCCGCGUUUGAAUAAAACUUUCUCCGGAGGGCCCGGAGCCGCCGGGAACCGCGGAGGAGGACGAGGAGGCGGCGGUGAAGCCGGGACCGGAGCCGAGAAGGCGGCGCGGAACGGUCGGAAAGAGGCGGCGGCGGAGGCUGAGGCCUGCGGGCCUCGCGGGGCCUGUAGAGCUGUCUAGGCCUUGCUGUGGGGGGGCGGGCGGUGUGCUGGGCCCUAUAGCGCUAUAGGGGGAGAGGGAACCCUCCGUUGGAUCCCGGGGACCUAUAGAGCGUUCGUGGGGGAGCGUUCGGGGAGUGUGGGACCGUAGAGGUGCAAUAGGCGCUGAAAGGGGGGAAUUGGGGCCCUAGGGAUUCUAUAGGGGGCUCCGUGGGGCAACAGGGACCCUAUAGAUGCUUUGCGGCGCCCCAUAGGUCGCUCAGGGCUCUGUAGAGUUUGCAGAGAAUCCUAUAGGUCCUUUACAUAGAUUUCCAGAGCCCUAUAGACCCUUCGGUGGUGGUGGUGGUGGGGGUGAGCUCCCAGGGCCUUAUAGAUUCUCUGUGGGGGAUUCACGGGGCCCUAUAGAUUCUUUAAGGGGUGCCCCAGAGCCCUGUAGACGCUUUGGAGGGGGGGGUUGAGGGCCCCAUAGGCGCUUCAGAGGGCCCUAUAGACUCUUUUGGAGCCCUUAUAGAUCCUUCAGGAGGGGGUCUCAGGGCCUUAUAGACCCUUGGGGGGGGAUUCACAGAGUCCUAUAGGUGCUUUAGAGGGCCCUAUAGGCGCUUCAGGGGUUUAUCUGGGACCCUAUAGAUCCUUUGGAGCUGUUCCCAGGAUCUUAUAGAUCUUUUGGAGGGGAUUUGCGGGCCCUAUAGAUGCUUUAAAGGACCCUAUAGGCGUUUUUGGAGCUCCUAUAGAUCCUUUAGCUGAGCUCUCCGGGUCGUAUAGAUUCUUUAGGGGUGGUCUUUUCCGGAUCCUUUAUUGGGGGGGGGUUCUCAUUGAUCCCCUAUAGGGUCUGGCCGGGUCCUCCAAGCUCCGCCGCCCCCUCCCUAUAGAACGGCGGGGACCCCCGUCCCCCCUAUGGGGAUCCUAUAGGGCGAAAGGUUCCCUAUAGAUAACGCGCGCCCCGCUGAGGGGUUUUUUAUAGGGUACAGGAAAAAA